rnacentral:rRNA from 1 species
UACGUAGGGGGCAAGCGUUGUCCGGAUUCAUUGGGCGUAAAGAGCUCGUAGGCGGUUUGGUAAGUUGGAUGUGAAAUCUCCAGGCUCAACUUGGAGGGGUCAUUCGAUACUGCCAUGACUAGAGUUCGGUAGGGGAGUGUGGAAUUCCUGGUGGAGCGGUGAAAUGCGCAGAUAUCAGGAGGAAUACCGGUGGCGAAGGCGGGUCUCUGGGCAGUGAACUGACGCUGGAGGAGCG